CUUGUGAACAGUGACUUGUGGGGUCAGUCGGUAGAAAGAGAUUUUCCUACUGGCCUGUCAAGUCGGUGUUCACAUG
rnacentral:pre_miRNA from 1 species